rnacentral:rRNA from 1 species
GAUCCUGGCUCAGAAUCAACGCUGGCGGCGUGCCUCAGACAUGCAAGUCGUACGUGAAAGUCCUUCGGGAUGAGUAAAGUGGCGCACGGGUGAGUAACACGUGAGUUAUCUGCCUUUGGGUGGGGAAUACCAACCGGAAACGGUUGUUAAUACCGCAUAACGCUUGCGCUGUAAUGGCGUAUGUUAAAGCGGGGGAUCAGCAAUGACCUCGUGCCUGAAGAGGAGCUCGCGGCAGAUUAGGUAGUUGGUGAGGUAAUGGCUCACCAAGCCUGCGAUCUGUAACCGGCCUGAGAGGGCGGUCGGUCACACUGACACUGACAUACGGGUCAGACUCCUACGGGAGGCAGCAGUCGGGAAUUUUGGGCAAUGGGCGAAAGCCUGACCCAGCAACGCCGCGUGAAGGAUGAAGCAUUUCGGUGUGUAAACUUCGCAAGAAUAGGAAGAAUAAGUUUGAACAAAUAAUUCAAACGAUGACGGUACUAUUUAUAAGCUCCGGCUAACUUCGUGCCAGCAGCCGCGGUAAUACGAGGGGAGCAAGCGUUGUUCGGAUUUACUGGGCGUAAAGGGUGCGUAGGCGGCACCACAAGUCACUUGUGAAAUCUUUGGGCUUAACCCAAAGCGGCCAAGUGAUACUGUGGAGCUAGAGUGCAGAAGGGGCAACUGGAAUUCCCGGUGUAGCGGUGAAAUGCG